UACGUAGGGUGCAAGCGUUGUCCGGAAUUAUUGGGCGUAAAGAGCUUGUAGGCGGUUUGUCGCGUCUGCUGUGAAAUUUCGGGGCUCAACCCCGAACUUGCAGUGGGUACGGGCAGACUAGAGUGUGGUAGGGGAGACUGGAAUUCCUGGUGUAGCGGUGAAAUGCGCAGAUAUCAGGAGGAACACCGAUGGCGAAGGCAGGUCUCUGGGCCAUAACUGACGCUGAGAAGCGAAAGCAUGGGGGAGCGA
rnacentral:rRNA from 1 species